UGUAAGCGUAUACCAAAGUUGUUGCAGUUAAAACGCUCGUAGUCGGAUUUUGGCGUGGUACUUCUGAGACCCCUGAUUGGGCGUUGAAGGUAGUCCCGCCUUUGUGGAUGAGGGCGUGGCGGUGAUUUAUUUCAUUGCUGCGUUUUCGCCACUGUUUACUGUGAAAAAAUUAGAGUGUUCAAAGCGAGCGAUUGCCAUGAAUAUAUUAGCAUGGAAUAAUAGAAUAGGACCUGAUCCUGUUUUGUUGGUUUGUCAGUAUUGGGUAAUGAUUAAGAGGGACGGUCGGGGGCAUUUGUAUUCCAGGGUUAGAGGUGAAAUUCUUGAAUCCUUGGAAGACAAACAGCUGCGAAAGCGUCUGCCAAGGACGUUUUCAUUGA
rnacentral:rRNA from 1 species